rnacentral:rRNA from 1 species
UACGUAGGGUGCAAGCGUUGUCCGGAAUUUAUUGGGCGUAAAGAGCUCGUAGGCGGUCUGUUGCGUCGGCUGUGAAAACCCGAGGCUCAACCUCGGGCCUGCAGCCGAUACGGGCAGACUAGAGUUCGGCAGGGGAGACUGGAAUUCCUGGUGUAGCGGUGAAAUGCGCAGAUAUCAGGAGGAACACCGGUGGCGAAGGCGGGUCUCUGGGCCGAUACUGAC